rnacentral:rRNA from 1 species
GACGAACGCUGGCGGCGUGCCUAAUACGUGCAAGUAGAACGCUGAAGGCGGAGCUUGCUUCUCCGGAUGAGUUGCGAACGGGUGAGUAACGCGUAGGUAACCUGCCUGGUAGCGGGGGCUACCUAUUGGAAACGAUAGCUAAUACCGCAUAACAGUAGAUGUUGCAUGACAUUUGCUUAAAAGGUGCAAUUGCAUCACUACCAGAUGGAAUUGCGUUGUAUUAGCUAGUUGGUGUGGUAACGGCUCACGAAGGCGACGAUACGUAGACGACCGGCGAGAGUGAUCGGCCGCACGGGAGCGCGGACGCGGCCAUGAGGCCUGCGGGAGGGAGCAGAAUGCAAUCUGCGGCAGUAGGCGGGAGUCUGACCGAACGACGCGGCGUCAGAGAAGAAGGUGUUGCGAUCGUAAAGCUCUGUUGUGAGUGAAGAACGGGUGUGAGAAUGGAAAGUGCACACGGUGACGGUAUCUUACGAGAAAGCAACGGCUAACUACGUG